ACGAACGCUGGCGGCGUGCUUAACACAUGCAAGUCGAACGGAAAGGCCCUGCUUUUGUGGGGUGCUCGAGUGGCGAACGGGUGAGUAACACGUGAGUAACCUGCCCUUGACUUUGGGAUAACUUCAGGAAACUGGGGCUAAUACCGGAUAGGAGCUCCUGCUGCAUGGUGGGGGUUGGAAAGUUUCGGCGGUUGGGGAUGGACUCGCGGCUUAUCAGCUUGUUGGUGGGGUAGUGGCUUACCAAGGCUUUGACGGGUAGCCGGUCUGAGAGGGUGACCGGCCACAUUGGGACUGAGAUACGGCCCAGACUCCUACGGGAGGCAGCAGUGGGGAAUAUUGCACAAUGGGCGGAAGCCUGAUGCAGCAACGCCGCGUGCGGGAUGACGGCCUUCGGGUUGUAAACCGCUUUCGCCUGUGACGAAGCGUGAGUGACGGUAAUGGGUAAAGAAGCACCGGCUAACUACGUG
rnacentral:rRNA from 1 species